CACGGGUGAGUAACACGUAUCCAACCUGCCGUCUACUCUUGGACAGCCUUCUGAAAGGAAGAUUAAUACAAGAUGGCAUCAUGAGUCCGCAUGUUCACAUGAUUAAAGGUAUUCCGGUAGACGAUGGGGAUGCGUUCCAUUAGAUAGUAGGCGGGGUAACGGCCCACCUAGUCUUCGAUGGAUAGGGGUUCUGAGAGGAAGGUCCCCCACAUUGGAACUGAGACACGGUCCAAACUCCUACGGGAGGCAGCAGUGAGGAAUAUUGGUCAAUGGGCGAGAGCCUGAACCAGCCAAGUAGCGUGAAGGAUGGCUGCCCUAUGGGUUGCAAACUUCUUUUAUAAAGGAAUAAAGUCGGGUAUGCAUACCCGUUUGCAUGUACUUUAUGAAUAAGGAUCGGCUAACUCCGUGCCAGCAGCCGCGGUAAUACGGAGGAUCCGAGCGUUAUCCGGAUUUAUUGGGUUUAAAGGGAGCGUAGAUGGAUGUUUAAGUCAGUUGUGAAAGUUUGCGGCUCAACCGUAAAAUUGCAGUUGAUACUGGAUAUCUUGAGUGCAGUUGAGGCAGGCGGAAUUCGUGGU
rnacentral:rRNA from 1 species